rnacentral:lncRNA from 1 species
AGGCGCAGGGCUGGGAGGCGCAGGCGACGGCGGGGGCACACCCGGACCGGGGCUGGGCGGCUCCGGCGAAGGUGGCGGCGUGCCAGGCGCGGGGCUGGGAGGCGCAGGCGACGGCGGGGGCACACCCGGCGCGGGGCUGGGCGGCUCCGGCGAAGGCGGCGCAGGGCUGGGAGGCGCAGGGCUGGGCGGCUCCGGCGAAGGCGGCGGCGUGCCAGGCGCAGGGCUGGGAGGCGAAGGCGAAGGCGGGGGCACACCCGGCGCGGGGCUGGGCGGCUCCGGCGAAGGCGGCGGCGUGCCAGGCGCAGGGCUGGGAGGCGCAGGCGACGGCGGGGGCACACCCGGCGCGGGGCUGGGCGGCUCCGGCGAAGGUGGCGGCGUGCCAGGCGCAGGGCUGGGAGGCGCAGGCGACGGCGGGGGUACACCCGGACCGGGGCUGGGCGGCUCCGGCGAAGGCGGCGGCGUGCCAGGCGCAGGGCUGGGAGGCGCAGGCGACGGCGGGGGCACACCCGGCGCGGGGCUGGGCGGCUCCGGCGAAGGUGGCGGCGUGCCAGGCGCAGGGCUGGGAGGCGCAGGCGACGGCGGGGGCACACCCGGCGCGGGGCUGGGCGGCUCCGGCGAAGGCGGCGGCGUGCCAGGCGCAGGGCUGGGAGGCGCAGGCGACGGCGGGGGCACGCCCGGCGCGGGGCUGGGCGGCUCCGGCGAAGGCGGCGGCGUGCCAGGCGCAGGGCUGGGAGGCGCAGGCGACGGCGGGGGCACGCCCGGACCGGGGCUGGGCGGCUCCGGCGAAGGCGGCGGCGUGCCAGGCGCAGGGCUGGGAGGCGCAGGCGACGGCGGGGGCACACCCGGCGCGGGGCUGGGCGGCUCCGGCGAAGGCGGCGGAGUACCAGGCGCAGGGCUGGGAGGGGCAGGCGACGGCGGGGGCACACCCGGCGCGGGGCUGGGCGGCUCCGGCGAAGGCGGCGGCGUGCCAGGCGCAGGGCUGGGAGGCGCAGGGCGACGGCGGGGGCACACCCGGCGCGGGGCUGGGCGGCUCCGGCGAAGGCGGCGGCGUGCCAGGCGCAGGGCUGGGAGGCGCAGGCGACGGCGGGGGCACACCCGGCGCGGGGCUGGGCGGCUCCGGCGAAGGUGGCGGCGUGCCAGGCGCAGGGCUGGGAGGCGCAGGCGACGGCGGGGGCACACCCGGACCGGGGCUGGGCGGCUCCGGCGAAGGCGGCGGCGUGCCAGGCGCAGGGCUGGGAGGCGCAGGCGACGGCGGGGGCACACCCGGCGCGGGGCUGGGCGGCUCCGGCGAAGGCGGCGGCGUGCCAGGCGCAGGGCUGGGAGGUGCAGGCGACGGCGGGGGCACACCCGGCGCGGGGCUGGGCGGCUCCGGCGAAGGCGGUGGCGUGCCAGGCGCAGGGCUGGGAGGCGCAGGCGACGGCGGGGGCACACCCGGCGCGGGGCUAGGCGGCUCUGGCGAAGGCGGCGCAGGGCUGGGAGGCGCAGGGCUGGGAGGCGCAGGCGACGGCGGGGGCACACCCGGUGCGGGGCUGGGCGGCUCCGGCGAAGGCGGCGGAGUACCAGGCGCAGGGCUGGGAGGCGCAGGCGACGGCGGGGGCACGCCCGGACCGGGGCUGGGCGGCUCCGGCGAAGGUGGCGGCGCACCAGGCGCGGGGCUGGGAGGCGCAGGCGACGGCGGGGGCACGCCCGGCGCGGGGCUGGGCGGCUCCGGCGAAGGAGGCGGCGUGCCAGGCGCAGGGCUGGGAGGCGCAGGCGACGGCGGGGGCACACCCGGUCCGGGGCUGGGCGGCUCCGGCGAAGGCGGCGGCGUGCCAGGCGCAGGGCUGGGAGGCGCAGGCGACGGCGGGGGCACACCCGGCGCGGGGCUGGGCGGCUCCGGCGAAGGCGGCGGCGUGCCAGGCGCAGGGCUGGGAGGCGCAGGCGACGGCGGGGGCACACCCGGCGCGGGGCUGGGCGGCUCCGGCGAAGGCGGCGGCGUGCCAGGCGCAGGGCUGGGAGGCGCAGGCGACGGCGGGGGCACACCCGGCGCGGGGCUGGGCGGCUCCGGCGAAGGCGGUGGCGUGCCAGGCGCAGGGCUGGGAGGCGCAGGCGACGGCGGGGGCACACCCGGCGCGGGGCUAGGCGGCUCUGGCGAAGGCGGCGGCGUACCAGGCGCAGGGCUGGGAGGCGCAGGCGACGGCGGGGGCACACCCGGACCGGGGCUGGGCGGCUCCGGCGAAGGUGGCGGCGUGCCAGGCGCGGGGCUGGGAGGCGCAGGCGACGGCGGGGGCACACCCGGCGCGGGGCUGGGCGGCUCCGGCGAAGGCGGCGCAGGGCUGGGAGGCGCAGGGCUGGGAGGCGCAGGCGACGGCGGGGGCACACCCGGCGCAGGGCUGGGCGGCUCCGGCGAAGGCGGUGGCGUGCCAGGCGCAGGGCUGGGAGGCGCAGGCGACGGCGGGGGCACACCCGGCGCGGGGCUAGGCGGCUCUGGCGAAGGCGGCGCAGGGCUGGGAGGCGCAGGGCUGGGAGGCGCAGGCGACGGCGGGGGCACACCAGGUCCGGGGCUGGGCGGCUCCGGCGAAGGCGGCGGCGUGCCAGGCGCAGGGCUGGGAGGCGCAGGCGACGGAGGGGGCACACCCGGCGCGGGGCUGGGCGGCUCCGGCGAAGGCGGCGGCGUGCCAGGCGCAGGGCUGGGAGGCGCAGGCGACGGAGGGGGCACACCCGGCGCGGGGCUGGGCGGCUCCGGCGAAGGCGGCGGCGUGCCAGGCGCAGGGCUGGGAGGCGCAGGCGACGGCGGGGGCACACCCGGACCGGGGCUGGGCGGCUCCGGCGAAGGCGGCGGCGUGCCAGGCGCAGGGCUGGGAGGCGCAGGCGACGGCGGGGGCACACCCGGCGCGGGGCUAGGCGGCUCUGGCGAAGGCGGCGCAGGGCUGGGAGGCGCAGGGCUGGGAGGCGCAGGCGACGGCGGGGGCACACCCGGCGCGGGGCUGGGCGGCUCCGGCGAAGGAGGCGGCGUGCCAGGCGCAGGGCUGGGAGGCGCAGGCGACGGAGGGGGCACACCCGGCGCGGGGCUGGGCGGCUCCGGCGAAGGCGGCGGCGCGCCAGGCGCAGGGCUAGGAGGCGCAGGCGACGGCGGGGGCACACCCGGCGCAGGGCUGGGCGGCUCUGGCGAAGGAGGCGGCGUGCCAGGCGCAGGGCUGGGAGGCGCAGGCGACGGAGGGGGCACACCCGGCGCGGGGCUGGGCGGCUCCGGCGAAGGCGGCGGCGCGCCAGGCGCAGGGCUAGGAGGCGCAGGCGACGGCGGGGGCACACCCGGCGCGGGGCUGGGCGGCUCCGGCGAAGGCGGCGGCGUGCCAGGCGCAGGGCUGGGAGGCGCAGGCGACGGCGGGGGCACACCAGGUCCGGGGCUAGGCGGCUCUGGCGAAGGCGGCGGCGUGCCAGGCGCAGGGCUGGGAGGCGCAGGCGACGGAGGGGGCACACCCGGCGCGGGGCUGGGCGGCUCCGGCGAAGGCGGCGGCGUGCCAGGCGCAGGGCUGGGAGGCGCAGGCGACGGCGGGGGCACACCCGGCGCGGGGCUGGGCGGCUCCGGCGAAGGCGGCGGCGUGCCAGGCGCAGGGCUGGGAGGCGCAGGCGACGGCGGGGGCACACCCGGCGCGGGGCUAGGCGGCUCCGGCGAAGGCGGCGGAGUACCAGGCGCAGGGCUGGGAGGCGCAGGCGACGGCGGGGGCACACCAGGUCCGGGGCUGGGCGGCUCCGGCGAAGGAGGCGGCGUGCCAGGCGCAGGGCUGGGAGGCGCAGGCGACGGAGGGGGCACACCCGGCGCGGGGCUGGGCGGCUCCGGCGAAGGCGGCGGCGCGCCAGGCGCAGGGCUAGGAGGCGCAGGCGACGGCGGGGGCACACCCGGCGCAGGGCUGGGCGGCUCCGGCGAAGGAGGCGGCGUGCCAGGCGCAGGGCUGGGAGGCGCAGGCGACGGCGGGGGCACACCCGGCGCGGGGCUAGGCGGCUCUGGCGAAGGCGGCGCAGGGCUGGGAGGCGCAGGGCUGGGAGGCGCAGGCGACGGCGGGGGCACACCCGGCGCGGGGCUGGGCGGCUCCGGCGAAGGCGGCGGCGUGCCAGGCGCAGGGCUGGGAGGCGCAGGCGACGGCGGGGGCACACCCGGCGCAGGGCUGGGCGGCUCCGGCGAAGGCGGCGGCGUGCCAGGCGCAGGGCUGGGAGGCGCAGGCGACGGAGGGGGCACACCCGGCGCGGGGCUAGGCGGCUCCGGCGAAGGCGGCGGCGUGCCAGGCGCAGGGCUGGGAGGCGCAGGCGACGGCGGGGGCACACCCGGCGCGGGGCUGGGCGGCUCCGGCGAAGGCGGCGGCGUGCCAGGCGCAGGGCUGGGAGGCGCAGGCGACGGCGGGGGCACACCCGGCGCGGGGCUGGGCGGCUCCGGCGAAGGUGGCGGAGUACCAGGCGCAGGGCUGGGAGGCGCAGGCGACGGCGGGGGCACACCCGGCGCAGGGCUGGGCGGCUCCGGCGAAGGCGGCGGCGUGCCAGGCGCAGGGCUAGGAGGCGCAGGCGACGGAGGGGGCACACCCGGCGCGGGGCUAGGCGGCUCCGGCGAAGGUGGCGGCGUACCAGGCGCAGGGCUGGGAGGCGCAGGCGACGGCGGGGGCACACCCGGCGCGGGGCUGGGCGGCUGCGGCGAAGGUGGCGGCGUACCAGGCGCAGGGCUGGGAGGCGCAGGCGACGGCGGGGGCACACCCGGCGCGGGGCUAGGCGGCUCCGGCGAAGGCGGCGGAGUACCAGGCGCAGGGCUGGGAGGCGCAGGCGACGGCGGGGGCACACCCGGCGCGGGGCUAGGCGGCUCCGGCGAAGGCGGCGGAGUACCAGGCGCAGGGCUGGGAGGCGCAGGCGACGGCGGGGGCACACCCGGCGCGGGGCUAGGCGGCUCCGGCGAAG